GAGUUGUGGUAGUCCUGUAACGGCAUUUACUCUCCCUACUCACGGUUGACACUUUCAGAGUCACCAUGUUAGCUGGCAACCUGCCCACAGAUAAACAUUUACACCGUGGAGCUAACUUCGGUUUUUGAAGUCGCGUCUGCUCAGCUUUCUUACCUUGGCAGUAUUCUUGCAGUAUCUCUGGACGGCCUGGUGAAUGAGUUGUUGGACGCUGAGGGUCCCAUCCCCACAAGGCACGACAAUCGCCGUGCGGCCGAACUGCACCGUCACCUUCAUUCUGACGGCUUGCGGCGGAACCGAGGGAAGCACAGGUGAGUGACUGAUUACCUGCACACCUGAGCGUGAGGGGCUGCUCGCCAAGGCGGUCCGGCUCGGGCCAGACAAGGCAAGACGCUGACAAUCCUUCUCCCAACUCCAAUUAAAGGCUCUUCAUCCUCGGACAAUGCAAAUACAGGUAUCGUCUGUGAAGAAAAUGGUUGCACUGUGUAUAUGGGGAGUACAGAUUUCCAGUCAAGGUCGAAAUGAAACUUCCUGGGAGUCAAUAUUCUAUCCUCUUGCACCACAGAAGAUUUGCAUUUCUACGCCAUCACUUUGACUCAAGUACUUUAUAAGCAAAAUAAAACCUUGCAGAAACAUGGCAAUCAUCUUGCAUGCCACAAGAUUUUACAAACUGCAAUAUGAUAAUAAACACAAUCUGUUUGAAUGAUGUUGGUUGAACAUUAAUAUUGGCAAGAUCAAGGAAAGCAUAACUGCUAUUUCUAGUCAUAUUGGUCCUGAGUUACGUUAUAGUACAGCUCCUUGGACAAAGCUGUCAAGAAAUGGGGUUCAGCAACAGAAACGGUGGUCUAGGCAAUGUUCACCUGAUGGCAAUAUGACUGCACCUCAAACAGUAAGUCAUCAUGAAGUGGAAGCAGAAGACUGCUGUCAAGCUGUAGUGCAGGUAGAUUGCCCUUGGACAGUGAGAUUACAAAAAUGCUUGAAUGGUCUUAAUCUGUGCCAGAGACUCAAGUGCAGAAUCCAAACUGCAGUACUGAAGGAAUGCUGCAUUGUUGAGUGAGCUGUCUUUUUUAAAAAAGACAUUGGACAUGGGGUUCCUCUAGCUCUCUGUGGAGACGAGCAUAAAAGAUCUGUUGAAUUUACUUAGGAGAAAAAAAUAACUUCUCUACAUUGUUCUAGAUGGUAUGCUUUAAGCAAUGUCAGGAAUUACAUUACUAAUUUCUGGAAUCUUUUGUGCAUAAUUUGGUUGCUGGAUUUCCCAUGUUAUACAAGUACUGCAGGACAAAAGUACUUCAUUGGCUAUAAAACUCAGGCAUUCUGAAAUGCUGCUUACAAAUGAGUUCUUCCUUUUUUCCCCAAUUACAAGUCAGUCCACUGAGAGACUUUAUUUGUAAUGGGAUAGAUACCAGCUUUCUGUACAGUGGCCAAACAAAAUUGCCUUAAUGCAGUACUGGCACAACAAUCAUGAUGAUCAAGAUUGUCUAAUGAUUUCUUGGAUUUUAAAUUUGAUGUUGCACCCUAUGGACAGACAACUUGCUGAUGAUUUCUUGUAAUCUCAUAAUUUUUGUAUCUCAGGAGAUCUAUCUCUGGACACCUAAUUUUAUCUGUAUCAAGAGAUAACACUAUCGAUUAGAUCAAAGCUUUCAAUUGCUUGCUGUUAAUAUCUUCAGCCGAAACAAAAUAAUUUGUGAUUUUUUUUUUGUAAAAGUUACAUGCCUGAAUGCAUGGUGGAGGCAGGUACUCUCACAAUUAAGUGUAUGAAUGAGUAUUUAAAUCACCAUGAAGUUUAUGGAACAACUAUUGGAAAACGGGAUUUGUAUAGACCUCAUGGUGGAGCAAAGGGUCUGUUUCUAUGAACCUAUAACCAGUGAGAGAGUUGUAAGUGCACACAUUUAACACAGACUCUCAUCUCCAUAACAAAUUUUACCCACAUUUCUUACCAAUUACAAACAUCAGAUUCUCUUUGUUCCACAAUGAAUUAAAACUUUUCAAUUAAAGAUCCUGGAAAUGAAAAACUAUGAAAUUCUUAACACAACCAAUCACUUGAAUUUAGUUUGUAUAAAUUCUGUUUAAUCUGGUGUGGAGAAGGGACAAUAAAACAAAACAAAGAAAAAUAUUUUGCAGGAAGUUCCAAAGAGCUUUACAGUCAAUAAAACAUUUUCAAAGAAUUGUCACUGUUGUAACACAUAAUGCAUUUGCACAGAGCAAGGUCCCAUAAAUAGCAAUGAGGAUAGAAAAUGUUGCUUGAGGUAUAAGCACUCUCCUCUUGUUUAAAUUGCUGCAUGGAGUUUCAUGUCACCUCUCCUGAUGCAACAAUCAGUGUUGUAUUAAAUUGGCCUGCUGCAAAUAUUGUAAGCUCUAAUCUUUUGGACAUAUGAACCCAAAACCUGCUGAUCCAAACGCACCACUUCAAAUCCAAAUACAAAAUUGUACUUAAUUUACCAUUCAAUAUUUAAUUUUAUGUUAACUUGAAUAAUAGCUUUGGGUGCAAAGGGGAAUAUACUGUAUGUCUUUGACCUGCCCAUCACCAUCAAUAAACAAUUCCACUUUAUUCUGUUUUUUUUCCUCUUUGCUUUUGGGGUAAAAUUCAAAUUCAAAAAUUCAUUGACUUCAUUUGAACAUAAUCCUACCAGAUCCAUUUUCUCCCAAUCCCCCAUUUCCCGACCUUUCUGAAUGAAUUCAUGGUUAGGUUUCCACAUUUCUAAUGUCAUUCAGAACUGUUAGCUUUCCACUCUUCUGAAGGUAAGGAUACAGGCAGGCAAGUUUAAGAUGAG